CCUACGGGGGGCAGCAGUGGGGAAUAUUGCACAAUGGGGGAAACCCUGAUGCAGCGACGCCGCGUGGGGGAAGAAGUAAUUCGUUACGUAAAGCUCUAUCAGCAGGGAAGAAAUACUGACCUUACGGUCAGCAGACGGUACCUGAGUAAGAAGCACCGGCUAACUACGUGCCAGCAGCCGCGGUAAUACGUAGGGGGCAAGCGUUAUCCGGAUUUACUGGGUGUAAAGGGAGCGUGGACGGUGCGCCAAGUCUGGAGUGAAAUGCCGCAGCUUAACUGUGGAACUGCUUUGGAAACUGGCGAACUAGAGUGCGGGAGGGGUAAGCGGAAUUCCUAGUGUAGCGGUGAAAUGCGUAGAUAUUAGGAGGAACACCGGUGGCGAAGGCGGCUUACUGGACCGUAACUGACGUUGAGGCUCGAAAGCGUGGGGAGCAAACAGGAUUAGAUACCCCUGUAGUC
rnacentral:rRNA from 1 species